rnacentral:rRNA from 1 species
AUUGAACGCUGGCGGCAUGCCUUACACAUGCAAGUCGAACGGCAGCGCGGGAGCAAUCCUGGCGGCGAGUGGCGAACGGGUGAGUAAUAUAUCGGAACGUGCCCAGUAGUGGGGGAUAGCCCGGCGAAAGCCGGAUUAAUACCGCAUACGACCUACGGGUGAAAGGGGGGGAUCGCAAGACCUCUCGCUAUUGGAGCGGCCGAUAUCAGAUUAGGUAGUUGGUGGGGUAAAGGCCUACCAAGCCUGCGAUCUGUAGUUGGUCUGAGAGGACGACCGGCCACACUGGGACUGAGACACGGCCCAGACUCCUACGGGAGGCAGCAGUGGGGAAUUUUGGACAAUGGGCGCAAGCCUGAUCCAGCAAUGCCGCGUGCAGGAAGAAGGCCUUCGGGUUGUAAACUGCUUUUGUCAGGGAAGAAAUCCUCUGGGUUAAUACCUCGGGGGGAUGACGGUACCUGAAGAAUAAGCACCGGCUAACUACGUGCCAGCCGCCGCCGUAAAAC